AUGAACGCUGGCGGCGUGCCUAAUACAUGCAAGUCGAGCGAACAGACGAGGAGCUUGCUCCUCUGACGUUAGCGGCGGACGGGUGAGUAACACGUGGAUAACCUACCUAUAAGACUGGGAUAACUUCGGGAAACCGGAGCUAAUACCGGGUAAUAUAUUGAACCGCAUGGUUCAAUAGUGAAAGACGGUUUUGCUGUCACUUAUAGAUGGAUCCGCGCCGCAUUAGCUAGUUGGUAAGGUAACGGCUUACCAAGGCAACGAUGCGUAGCCGACCUGAGAGGGUGAUCGGCCACACUGGAACUGAGACACGGUCCAGACUCCUACGGGAGGCAGCAGUAGGGAAUCUUCCGCAAUGGGCGAAAGCCUGACGGAGCAACGCCGCGUGAGUGAUGAAGGUCUUCGGAUCGUAAAACUCUGUUAUUAGGGAAGAACAAAUGUGUAAGUAACUACGCACGUCUUGACGGUACCUAAUCAGAAAGCCACGGCUAACUACGUG
rnacentral:rRNA from 1 species